rnacentral:rRNA from 1 species
GAACGAACGCUGGCGGCAGGCCUAAAACAUGCAAGUUGAACGGCCAUAGCAAUAUGGCAGUAGCGCAAGGGUGAGUAAUGUAUGGGAACGUAUCUUUUGGUGGGGAAUAUUCUUUGGAAACGAAGAGCAAUACCGCAUAAGCCCUACGGGGGAAAGAUUUAUCGCCGAUUGAGCGGCCCAUAUUGGAUUAGCUAGUUGGUUGGGUAACGGCUGACCAAGGCAAUGAUCCCAUAGCUGGUCUGAGAGGACGAUCGGCCACACUGGGACUGAGACACGGCCCAGACUCCUACGGGAGGCAGCAGUUAGGAAUAUUGGACAAUGGGGGCAACCCUGAUCCCAGCCAUGCCGCGUGAGUGUUAAGGCCUUCGGGUUGUAAAGCUCUUUUGUAUGGGAAAAUGAUGAUGGUACCAUAAGAAUAAGCACCGGCUAACUUCGUGCCAGCCGCCGC